AUGUUUAAGUUAAUCGACCGGGGACAAUACAGCAAGAACGGGCAUCUCUCUGAGACAGUUUCUGCAGCAACUUCUAUACUUUCAUAUGUGGAACCCUCACUGGUUCUUCCAUUUGUGGCAUCUCGAUUUCAAAUGGCCCUUGAGAUGAUGGCUGCCACCCAUCAGUUGAAAUUGCAGUUAUGUCGGUGGCAUUUGUUGGGCGUUAACUAUUUUAUACAUCUGUAUCAGCUUCUUCCGUGA